rnacentral:antisense_RNA from 1 species
UCGGUGUCGACGGCGAAGGUGACGUACCAGCGGCCGUCGGGCUCCCUGCAGACCACCACCAUCGUGGGUUCCAGUCCAGCCACGUCCACAUCAUCGAACGACCACACGAACGCAAGCGGCGCGCUCGUUUCGGCCAGCCACAGCUCACCAUCACGCAUGCGGAACGCCGAGCGGGUGUAGUGCGCGGACUGGCGGCCGGUGCGGCUCUCGAACCUCGGGUAUUUGGCUCGUCCGGCGAAGAAGUUGGUGAACGCGGUGUGCUGGUGUCGCAGUGCCUGCUGCAACGGAACCGA